GACGAACGCUGGCGGCGUGCUUAACACAUGCAAGUCGAACGGUGAAGCGAGUGCUUGCACUCGUGGAUCAGUGGCGAACGGGUGAGUAACACGUGAGUAACCUGCCCAUCACUCUGGGAUAAGCACUGGAAACGGUGUCUAAUACUGGAUACGACCAACCCUUGCAUGGGGUGUUGGUGACAUGAUUUAUCGGUGAUGGAUGGACUCGCGGCCUAUCAGCUUGUUGGCGGGGUAAUGGCCCACCAAGGCGACGACGGUUAGCCGGCCUGAGAGGUGGACCGGCCACAAUGGGACUGAGAGACGGCCCAGACUCCUACGGGGGGCAGAAGUGGGGAAUAUUGCACAAUGGGCGAAAGCCUGAUGCAGCGACGCCGCGUGAGGGAUGACGGCCUUCGGGUUGUAAACCUCUUUAAGCAGAGAAGAAGCGAAAGUGACGGUACCUGCAGAAGAAGCACCGGCUAACUACGUG
rnacentral:rRNA from 1 species